rnacentral:rRNA from 1 species
GAUGAACGCUGGCGGCGUGCCUAAUACAUGCAAGUCGAGCGAACCACUUCGGUGGUGAGCGGCGAACGGGUGAGUAACACGUAGGUGAUCUGCCCAUCAGACGGGGACAACGAUUGGAAACGAUCGCUAAUACCGGAUAGGACGAAAGUUUAAAGGUGCUUCUGGCACAGCUGAUGGAUGAGCCUGCGGCGCAGUAGCUAGUUGGUAGGGUAAAGGCCUACCAAGGCGACGAUGCGUAGCCGACCGGAGAGGGUGAACGGCCACACUGGGACUGAGACACGGCCCAGACUCCUACGGGAGGCAGCAGUAGGGAAUCUUCGGCAAUGGGCGAAAGCCUGACCGAGCAACGCCGCGUGAAUGAUGAAGGCCUUCGGGUUGUAAAAUUCUGUUAUAAGGGAAGAACGACUUUAGUAGGAAAUGGCUAGAGUGUGACGGUACCUUAUGAGAAAGCCACGGCUAACUACGUGCCAGCCGCCGCGGUAA